rnacentral:rRNA from 1 species
CUUACCAUGCAGUCGAACGGAAAGGCCCUUUCGGGGGUACUCGAGUGGCGAACGGGUGAGUAACACGUGGGUGAUCUGCCCUGCACUUCGGGAUAAGCUUGGGAAACUGGGUCUAAUACCGGAUAUGAUCACGUCCUUCAUGGGGUGUGGUGGAAAGCUUUUUGCGGUGUGGGAUGGGCCCGCGGCCUAUCAGCUUGUUGGUGGGGUAAUGGCCUACCAAGGCGACGACGGGUAGCCGGCCUGAGAGGGUGUCCGGCCACACUGGGACUGAGAUACGGCCCAGACUCCUACGGGAGGCAGCAGUGGGGAAUAUUGCACAAUGGGCGCAAGCCUGAUGCAGCGACGCCGCGUGGGGGAUGACGGCCUUCGGGUUGUAAACCUCUUUCACCAUCGGCGAAGCCAGAUGCUUUUGUUUCUGGUGACGGUAGGUGGAGAAGAAGCACCGGCCAACUACGUGCCAGCAGCCGCGGUAAUACGUAGGGUGCGAGCGUUGUCCGGAAUUACUGGGCGUAAAGAGCUCGUAGGUGGUUUGUCGCGUUGUCCGUGAAAUUCCCUGGCUUAACUGGGGGCGUGCGGGCGAUACGGGCAGACUAGAGUACUGCAGGGGAGACUGGAAUUCCUGGUGUAGCGGUGGAAUGCGCAGAUAUCAGGAGGAACACCGGUGGCGAAGGCGGGUCUCUGGGCAGUAACUGACGCUGAGGAGCGAAAGCGUGGGGAGCGAACAGGAUUAGAUACCCUGGUAGUCCACGCCGUAAACGGUGGGUACUAGGUGUGGGUUUCCUUUCCUUGGAUCCGUGCCGUAGCUAAC